UUUGUUUGGCUUUCUGGUCAAUAAUCAAAAUAUUGAAUGAAAUAAUAUCAAACUUGUAUUUGAUAGGGUUACCUAUGAAUAAACUUACCAACGUUGAUGAUAUAUGACCCCAAAAAAAAAAGUAAAGGAAAAAAAAAAAGUCAUAAAUAUAGAGAGCUUUGAACAAUCUUUAUGUGGAAGAAUUUAAUAGUUUCGAAACAUAUAGUAACCUUAACUUAAAUCAUCUCUAACCUUAAUUAAAGACUUGACUUAAUA
rnacentral:lncRNA from 1 species